GGCCUGACAGCUGCUGUUCGCUCACCCCUCUCCAAACUCCAAAAAAAAAAAAAGGGAGUAAGAGCAGCAAAGUAGGGGGUGCAGGGCGGCACCAGGCAAGCGUCGAGUGGGGAUGUGGAAGCCAAACUGUUUGUCAACUUUGCUGCUCAUCGAACUUAUUUAAAUUCGAAUUGUGACACGUGCACCCAAGCUGGAGCUGUUGGAGGUGGAGUCUGCUAUACUAGAUUGUCAUAUCAGCCAUCAUCAGAGAGAUGGUUAUCAGGCAGAGGCGUUGGUUGUGGCUCAACCCUUCUGCUGCCUUCUUCAAUGGGGUAAAAUCACUUUUUUUUUGGCAUCUCCUCCACACAACAAUUCAGUGAACAGAAAAAUAUCCCCAUGGAGUAGAUCAAGCAAGUAUUUUUUUUUUCAACCAUUUUUGCAUAAUUUCCAUGGAAAAACUUUUCAAGUUAUGCGUAAGGUGACAGAAAACAUCAUCAUCAUCCCCAUCAAAACCCCUUCCAACCCGAAUGGCGAAUGAUAUGGGAGUCGUUGGAAAAGUUCUAGAAAGUCAGAUCCAGCGAUUUGAGGUUGGAAAUUAUACUAGCACAUGGGAAAAUUCAUAGUUGUACAACACUGCAAAGUAUGACAUGUGUGAGGCGUUAGCCAGCACUGUAACAGCUUAAAACAUACGGAAAAUUGGCAAAUCAUCCAAAAGGCAAAUAAAUAACCAAACUACAUAGCCAGACC